rnacentral:rRNA from 1 species
UACGUAGGGUGCGAGCGUUGUUCGGAAUUACUGGGCGUAAAGGGCGCGUAGGCGGCCUGUUAAGUCGAACGUGAAAUCCCCGGGCUCAACCCGGGAACUGCGUCCGAUACUGGCAGGCUUGAAUGCGGGAGAGGGAUGUGGAAUUCCAGGUGUAGCGGUGAAAUGCGUAGAUAUCUGGAGGAACACCGGUGGCGAAGGCGGCAUCCUGGACCAGUAUUGACGCUGAGGCGCGAAAGCCAGGGGAGCAAACGGG